rnacentral:rRNA from 1 species
GACAGAGGAGCCAAGCGUUGUCCGGAUUGACUGGGCGUAAAGCGCACGCAGGCGGAUGCGCGCGUGGGGUGUGAAAUCUGGCCGCUUAACGGCCAGGCGCCAUCCCAUACGGCGCGUCUGGAGUGAUGCAGAGGUCGAUGGAAUUGCCGGUGUAGUGGUGAAAUGCGUAGAGAUCGGCAGGAACACCCAGGGGGAAACCAGUCGACUGGACAUCUACUGACGCUGAGGUGCGAGAGCGUGGGGAGCGAACCGG